rnacentral:rRNA from 1 species
AGAGUUUGAUCAUGGCUCAGAUUGAACGCUGGCGGCAGGCCUAACACAUGCAAGUCGAGCGGUAGCACAGAGAGCUUGCUCUCGGGUGACGAGCGGCGGACGGGUGAGUAAUGUCUGGGAAACUGCCUGAUGGAGGGGGAUAACUACUGGAAACGGUAGCUAAUACCGCAUAACGUCGCAAGACCAAAGUGGGGGACCUUCGGGCCUCAUGCCAUCAGAUGUGCCCAGAUGGGAUUAGCUAGUAGGUGGGGUAACGGCUCACCUAGGCGACGAUCCCUAGCUGGUCUGAGAGGAUGACCAGCCACACUGGAACUGAGACACGGUCCAGACUCCUACGGGAGGCAGCAGUGGGGAAUAUUGCACAAUGGGCGCAAGCCUGAUGCAGCCAUGCCGCGUGUGUGAAGAAGGCCUUCGGGUUGUAAAGCACUUUCAGCGGGGAGGAAGGCGAUAAGGUUAAUAACCUUGUCGAUUGACGUUACCCGCAGAAGAAGCACCGGCUAACUCCGUGCCAGCAGCCGCGGUAAUACGGAGGGUGCAAGCGUUAAUCGGAAUUACUGGGCGUAAAGCGCACGCAGGCGGUCUGUCAAGUCGGAUGUGAAAUCCCCGGGCUCAACCUGGGAACUGCAUUCGAAACUGGCAGGCUAGAGUCUUGUAGAGGGGGGUAGAAUUCCAGGUGUAGCGGUGAAAUGCGUAGAGAUCUGGAGGAAUACCGGUGGCGAAGGCGGCCCCCUGGACAAAGACUGACGCUCAGGUGCGAAAGCGUGGGGAGCAAACAGGAUUAGAUACCCUGGUAGUCCACGCAGUAAACGAUGUCGAUUUGGAGGUUGUGCCCUUGAGGCGUGGCUUCCGGAGCUAACGCGUUAAAUCGACCGCCUGGGGAGUACGGCCGCAAGGUUAAAACUCAAAUGAAUUGACGGGGGCCCGCACAAGCGGUGGAGCAUGUGGUUUAAUUCGAUGCAACGCGAAGAACCUUACCUGGUCUUGACAUCCACAGAACUUAGCAGAGAUGCUUUGGUGCCUUCGGGAACUGUGAGACAGGUGCUGCAUGGCUGUCGUCAGCUCGUGUUGUGAAAUGUUGGGUUAAGUCCCGCAACGAGCGCAACCCUUAUCCUUUGUUGCCAGCGGUUAGGCCGGGAACUCAAAGGAGACUGCCAGUGAUAAACUGGAGGAAGGUGGGGAUGACGUCAAGUCAUCAUGGCCCUUACGACCAGGGCUACACACGUGCUACAAUGGCAUAUACAAAGAGAAGCGACCUCGCGAGAGCAAGCGGACCUCAUAAAGUAUGUCGUAGUCCGGAUUGGAGUCUGCAACUCGACUCCAUGAAGUCGGAAUCGCUAGUAAUCGUAGAUCAGAAUGCUACGGUGAAUACGUUCCCGGGCCUUGUACACACCGCCCGUCACACCAUGGGAGUGGGUUGCAAAAGAAGUAGGUAGCUUAACCUUCGGGAGGGCGCUUACCACUUUGUGAUUCAUGACUGGGGUGAAGUCGUAACAAGGUAACCGUAGGGGAACCUGCGGUUGGAUCACCU